UACGGGGGGGGCAAGCGUUGUUCGGAAUUACGGGGCGUAAAGGGCUCGUAGGCGGCCAACUAAGUCAGACGUGAAAUCCCUCGGCUUAACCGGGGAACUGCGUCUGAUACUGGAUGGCUCGAGUUUGGGAGAGGGAUGCGGAAUUCCAGGUGUAGCGGUGAAAUGCGUAGAUAUCUGGAGGAACACCGGUGGCGAAGGCGGCAUCCUGGACCAACACUGACGCUGAUGAGCGAAAGCCAGGGGAGCAAACGGG
rnacentral:rRNA from 1 species